CAGCCGCCGCGGGAAUACGUAGGUCCCGAGCGUUGUCCGGAUUUAUUGGGCGUAAAGCGAGCGCAGGCGGUUUGAUAAGUCUGAAGUUAAAGGCUGUGGCUUAACCAUAGUUCGCUUUGGAAACUGUCAAACUUGAGUGCAGAAGGGGAGAGUGGAAUUCCAUGUGUAGCGGUGAAAUGCGUAGAUAUAUGGAGGAACACCGGUGGCGAAAGCGGCUCUCUGGUCUGUAACUGACGCUGAGGCUCGAAAGCGUGGGGAGCGAACAGGAUUAGAUACCCCGGUAGUCCCUGUCUCUUAUACA
rnacentral:rRNA from 1 species